rnacentral:rRNA from 1 species
UGGGGAAUAUUGGACAAUGGGCGAAAGCCUGAUCCAGCCAUGCCGCGUGUGUGAAGAAGGUCUUCGGAUUGUAAAGCACUUUAAGUUGGGAGGAAGGGCAUUAACCUAAUACGUUAGUGUUUUGACGUUACCGACAGAAUAAGCACCGGCUAACUCUGUGCCAGCAGCCGCGGUAAUACAGAGGGUGCAAGCGUUAAUCGGAAUUACUGGGCGUAAAGCGCGCGUAGGUGGUUUGUUAAGUUGGAUGUGAAAUCCCCGGGGUCAACCUGGGAACUGCAUUCAAAACUGACUGACUAGAGUAUGGUAGAGGGUGGUGGAAUUUCCUGUGUAGCGGUGAAAUGCGUAGAGAUAGGAAGGAACAGCAGUGGCGAAGGCGACCACCUGGACUAAUACUGACACUGAGGUGCGAAAGCGUGGGGAGCAAACA